AUUUACUCUCAUGCUUUCUGCAGCAGCCCUGAUGAUCACUGGAUCCUUUACUGAGCUAAUUUAAGUGCUUGUUCUAAUAAGGAGAUCUGUUCCAAAGCUGGAAGCUGGCUCCUGUCUUUGAGAUGCUGUGCAGUGUUUCUUCCUGUAGGUAGGAAGAUGUAAUUUGACCUAGUCCAGCUGAGGGAAAAAAAAAGCAACGUUCAGUCAGAUGAGCUCUGCUGGCUUUGGCAUGAGGUGGAAAUGGCUGCGAAUAGUCAGGCCCUCACCAUGGCCUUCUAAUGCUUGAAAAUAUUUGAGAUUAGGCAAUGUGGUUUCAUUUGAAAACGUUUACUGGUUUGAAGUACUGUUCCAUUCUUCAAGAGGAAUUAGAAGGUCAGAGAGCUCGACAUACGCUUCUGCACCAAGCUGUUGCAUUGAGAAAGACUUUCCUGUUUGUUGAGGUCAUUUCCUGGUCUGUUUUCAGCUACUGACAGAGGAGUGCUCCUGGUCUGUCACUGACCACCGGUGGAGAAGGUUCUUGGUUCUGCCAUGCAGUUCAGCAUGCUUGGGCUGGGUUCCUGGGAGGGGCAGGUCACGGUGUUCAAGGCCCUGUGCACUCAAUUUUUGGAAGCAUUUGAUGUGCACUGAACAUAUUGUGGAAAGAGUAAGAACCAGAGAAAGGAAGAGAAUCAUUCCUUUAUAUGAGAUUACAAAGAGCACUGCACUGUACAAAGGCAAAUUUACUUAGCUGCUGUCAAAAGAAAUUUCCCCUUGGCUUUUAUACUCCCCCUGCUCUGCUGCUGCUCAGAUGCUGCCUUCCUGAAACUACCAGAUGUACCGAUCUCACUCGAUACAUGACAGCUGAGAUUCUGGUUCUGCCUGCCUUUUCCUGAAGGUGCCUAUGAGAGACACUGUUGACUUCUGUGAACUUUGGAGAUGAUCAGAACUAUACCUGCUGAAGCAAUCUGGAAAGUGGAGGUCCUACUUCUUACUUUGUGUGGGUGCAGGCAAGACCAGACUCCAAUGAAUUAGGGCUAACAGUAGUAAAGCUCAAGAGGAGAAGAUUUUCACCAAGUGACUUGUCUAUUAAUUGCAAUGCAAGUGUAAGGCCCAUGAGGUGAUGCUGGCUGCAUGCAGUUGCAAUAAAUUUAGAGUGCUGAGAAGAGUGUUACACUGAGAGGUAGAUGCCUGACAACCAUGCAAUUUUUUUUUCUGUCUUCUGCAGCACUGUGUAAAUUAUGUAUAGCAGCACAUUAUUCCUGACAAAAUAUUUGUGUCAAGGUAUUGCUCCUUGUAAAUCAUCCAAUAAGGUGAGAAACAGAUGUGUGUGUUGCUAAGACAGGCUGUGCAGGUCCCACUGAAGAAAAGGAUCCGAGACAUCUUGACAAGUUUGGGAAGUUCCAGGUUGCAUUACACCUUGUGCAGUAAAGGUAUAGUAUUUUGGGUAUGGGGCACCCUUGUUUAAAAUCUUCAGCUGUCUCAGUUCAUCCUAGUGGAAACCUGGUGCUGGAGUCAGUGUGCUACAGCUGUUCCUUUGGCUCGGCUCUGGCAGGGGUUCCUGGCUCUGCUUGGAUUCCUUCCAAACACUUUUGCGCUUUCCGUUCUCUAGAGGAGAAGGUGUAUGUAGAAACACCCUCCUGUCCAUUGUUUCCCUAGUCAGAAGCAUUGUAAAAACCACAAAUAAAAUGUUGCCUGCUGAUUUCAGACCUGCAGUGUGCAGCAGACCAGCAGGUACCCUUGCUACAGGAUGUUUUAGCUCCAGCUGAUAACUGCUCCACUGAUUUUUUAUAUGUGAUUUGGGAAGAGACAGAGCCCCUGUAUGGGCUAGCUCCCUCUCCAAUGCAGUGAAAGUGGUGGUGCAGAAAAGCAGUGGCACUUGUGCUGGUGCUUUGAUGCAUUUUCUUAAAUAAUAAAAAAAAAUCAAUUUUGAGGAAACUAAGCAAACCUGGUAGUGCCCUGGCUGUGGUCUUGCAGUGACUUUAAGGAGCUGGGCGUCUACUGUCUUAAUUCUUCCCAUUGCAGCUUUUUCCAGCUCUUUCCCAGAGCUGGAGUAAUUACCUGCUUUGGGUGCCAGUGAUAUUCAUAACACGAGGUCCAAGUACUUCGACCACUGUCACAAGAUUGGUCAUCCAAGAACAAUCGAUUCCUGAAUGGGCCUGAACUUUGGGUGACCUGAAAUAUAGCAGCACGUAUUACUCGCUGAGACAUCUGGUGGACAAUAAAACUUUUUUUAUUUGUUUUUACAUGAAGCAGCUGUACUUGAGCAGAUGACUAGGGGCUGUGCAAUCAAAGUGUGAAUAGCUGAAUAAGCAAAUCAUAUUAGGCUUCUUAGGCUCUUAUUUAAAUGCUGCAUGUUCCUUUUUAAUUUUGCUUUAUUAACAUCUACCAAAAACACAGCCGUGUUGGCAUUAUGCUUAUUAGUGACUUAUUUGCUUCAUUAAAAUUUACAGCACGUUUUACAUUUGCCAUCUGGGACAGCUUCUCCCAUGUUUAUGGUUAAAAUGUAACUUAAAACCAAGCCUAUCGGUCUAAAACAAAGGAUUUUAUAGAUACAACUCUUUUGUCAGAUGCCAGUGAUAACUCUUUUCUGUAGCGUUAUUGUGGGCAAACAGUACACUAAUUUGCACAGUCACCGUGCUACAACUUAGUGCUAGGAUACAGACAAGUAUUUGUGCUUUCAGUAAAAGAUGUUGUAUGUAAGGAAGAGGUUGAUAGUACUAUUACUCGGAAAGCCACAGCUUAUGGAGUAUGGAGAGGGAAUUAGAGGAACUUCAGACUAAAAGACCUUCUGGGUCACUGAGUCGAAAUCCCUGCUAUUGCAAGUAACUACCUCGGAUAAUCUCUUUCCGAAGAGUUGGAGAAAGAAUAAACAGUGCAAGAGAAAUGUGAAUGUGCUGAAAGGCAAUACAUAUGAACACAGCUCAGAACCUGAGCUGAUGAGCCUCUGCAGUUUCCAGAUGUGAGCUGCCUUGCUGCUAACUACUUCAGAGUGUGGGCACAGCAGUCCAUGUCUGUCUUUGCUUUACUAUGUACACACAGCUUUUCAUUCUUCCUCCUUUUUUUCUGCUUUUCUUUACUGUUGAGUAAUGAAGAUGGGAAACCCACUUUCUUUUUAUUCUGUGUGAAUUUGAAAAAGUUGCGUGCUGAGGGGUCAGAGUGAAGGAAGGAGGAGACAAGCAUGUGAUAUACUUGUACGGAGAACAUAUGCCUUCCCCACCAUUUUGAGUCUGAGAGAGAAGUCAAUUCAAAACAGUAUUUUUCUUGAAGUUGCCAGUAGGGAUGUCAAACAUUAAAAUUUCAUUCACUGUUUGAUUUUUUUUUCUUUUUUUAAUUCCCCAGAGGAAAUGUUCAUUCUCCACAAAACCACAUGAAAAAUAAAUAAAAAAUUGAGUGCACAGCAGCAUUGUGAGUGCCCAGAUCUUCCUCAAGUCCCUGCCUGAAAGUAUAUUUCUUAUAUGGGACAUCCAGACAUACAGAAAUAGACUUAGAAUUGUUUGAGUUGGAAGGGACCCUUAAUGGCCAUCUGGUCUAUCCCCCUUGCAGUUAAGUUGGACAUCUGCAGCUAGAUCAGGUUGC